UACGGAAGGUCCAGGCGUUAUCCGGAUUUAUUGGGUUUAAAGGGAGCGCAGGCGGGCUUUUAAGCGUGUUGUGAAAUGUAACGGCUCAACCGUUGAAUUGCAGCGCGAACUGGAGGCCUUGAGUGAGUACGACGUGUACGGAAUUCGUGGUGUAGCGGUGAAAUGCUUAGAUAUCACGAAGAACUCCGAUUGCGAAGGCAGUGCACGAGUCCUUAACUGACGCUAAAGCUCGAAAGUGCGGGUAUCGAAC
rnacentral:rRNA from 1 species